AACGAACGUUGGCGGCGUGGAUUAGGCAUGCAAGUCGAACGCGAACGUCGGGCUUCGGCCUGGCUAGUAGAGUGGCGAACGGGUGAGUAACGCGUGGGUAAUCUACCCUCGAGUGGGGAAUAACCUCUCUAACGAGUGGCUAAUACCGCAUACGAUCGCACUUCCGCAUGGGAGAGCGAUGAAAGGUGGGGAUCUUCGGACCUGCCGCUCGAGGAGGAGCCCGCGUCCCAUUAGCUUGUUGGUGGGGUAAUGGCCCACCAAGGCAACGAUGGGUAGCCGAUCUGAGAGGAUGACCGGCCACACUGGGACUGAGAUACGGCCCAGACUCCUACGGGAGGCAGCAGUCGGGAGGCUUCGGCAAUGGGGGAAACCCUGACCGAGCGACGCCGCGUGCGGGAUGAAGGCCCUCGGGUUGUAAACCGCUGUCAGGAGGGAAGAAUCCCCGCGGGUUAAUACCCCGAGGGUUGACGGUACCUCCAGAGGAAGCUCCGGCUAACUCCGUG
rnacentral:rRNA from 1 species